AGAGUUUGAUCCUGGCUCAGAAUCAACGCUGGCGGCGUGCCUAACACAUGCAAGUCGAACGAGAAAGUGGAGCAAUCCAUGAGUAAAGUGGCGACCGGGUGAGUAACACGUGACUAACCUACCCUACAGUGGGGGAUAACCUCGGGAAACCGGGGCUAAUACCGCAUAAUAUCGUGAGAUCAAAGAAGCAAUUCGCUGAA
rnacentral:rRNA from 1 species